GAACGGCGCUGCAUGCUGGGAGCUGUAGUCUGCGACGCAACUCGGCCGAGGUGCCUCCCUGGUCCCUGAAGCUCCCAGAGCCCGCGUGUUCAGGCGGUCCUGACACCCCGGCCCGAGCCACACCUGCUGGAGGGCUAAACGCCUGCCGGCCCUCCGGGUAUGAGCGGAGGCCGGGACAGCCCUGGGCUCCGCCGCCCCCGGAAGGAAAAACUACAGCGCGGGCAGCUGCCCAGCCUCGUAAGAGCAGAGCUCGGGAACCCCGCCCCCUGGGCCUCCGAUGUCCGUGGCGCUUUCCGUCGCCCGAGUGCCAUUGGGCCGGCCUGUCACGUGACCCGAGGCCCCGCGCCCGGUUGGCUGCCGCCUGGUUACCAAUGGGAGACUAGCGGGCCGGCGUCCUGGCCUGGUCCAGCACCUGCGCCGCCCUCGGGUUUGGAGGGCUGGGCUGAGCGGGGAACGGGCGGGACGGGCCGGAGGCGGCGGCGGCGGACUCGCCUUCUCUCCGGGGCUGCGACCCCGAGGCUACUGGCUGCAGAUGGGAGCUCGAGGAGCCGAGGAUGCGGGCGGGCCGGGGCGCGACGCCGGCGAGGGAGCUGUUCCGGGACGCCGCCUUCCCCGCCGCGGACUCCUCGCUCUUCUGCGACUUGUCUACGCCGCUGGCCCAGUUUCGCGAGGACAUCACGUGGAGGCGGCCCCAGGAGAUUUGUGCCGUGCCCCGGUUGUUUCCAGAUGACCCGCAGGAAGGGCAGGUGAAGCAGGGGCUGCUGGGGGAUUGCUGGUUCCUGUGUGCCUGUGCCGCCCUGCAGAAGAGCAGGCACCUCCUGGACCAGGUCAUUCCUCCAGGACAGCCAAGCUGGGCCGACCAGGAGUACCAGGGCUCCUUCACCUGUCGCAUUUGGCAGUUUGGACGCUGGGUGGAGGUGACCACAGAUGACCGCCUGCCAUGCCUUGCAGGGAGACUCUGUUUCUCCCGCUGCCAGAGGGAGGAUGUGUUCUGGCUCCCCUUACUGGAAAAGGUCUACGCCAAGGUCCAUGGGUCCUACGAGCACUUGUGGGCAGGGCAGGUGGCGGAUGCCCUGGUGGACCUGACUGGUGGCCUGGCAGAAAGAUGGAGCCUGAAGGGCGUAGCAGGAAGCGGAGGCCAGCAGGACAGGCCGGGCCGCUGGGAGCACAGGACUUGUCGGCAGCUGCUCCGCCUGAAGGACCAGAGUCUCAUCAGCUGCUCCGUGCUCAGCCCCAGAGCAGGUGCUCGGGAGCUGGGGGAGUUCCAUGCCUUCAUUGUCUCGGACCUGCGGGAGUUGCAGGAUCAGGCGGGCCAGAGCAUCCUGCUGCUGCGGAUCCAGAACCCCUGGGGCCGGCGGUGCUGGCAGGGGCUCUGGAGAGAGGGGGGUGAAGGGUGGAGCCAGGUAGAUGCAGCGGUAACGUCUGAGCUCCUGUCCCAGCUCCAGGAAGGGGAGUUCUGGGUGGAGGAGGAAGAGUUCCUCAGGGAGUUUGACGAGAUCACCAUUGGCUACCCAAUCACGGAGGCCGGCCACCUGCAGAGCCUCUACACAGGGAAGCUGCUCUGCCACACUCGGGCGCUGCCUGGGGCCUGGGUCAAGGGGCAGUCAGCAGGAGGCUGCCGGAACAACAGCGGCUUUCCCAGCAACCCCAAAUUCUGGCUGCGGGUCUCAGAACCGAGUGAGGUGUACAUUGCCGUCCUGCAGAGAUCGAGGCUGCGUGCAGUGGACUGGGCAGGCCGGGCCCGGGCACUGGUGGGUGACAGUCAUACUUCGUGGAGCCCAGCGAGCAUCCCGGGCAAGCACUACCAGGCUGUGGGCCUGCACCUCUGGAAGGGUGUGACACUUGGCACUACACUGUUCCCUGUUCCUUCAUGGAUGUGGCCCACAUGGUGUUCCUUUCCUCUUGCAAAAGAAGUUGCUGGAAGGCCCACUGUCCAGCAGCCCCAGGUUGCCUGGGCCACGGUGCCUCUGUGGGCCCAGCUACAAGGGAGGACUUGCAGGCUUGUGUCUGGGACAGAUACUGGCCCCAGGGCCAAGUGAAGCCCGGGAUUGGUGGGCAUCUCUAGCUGGCCCCUGAGAGAGGGUGGAGGAUGCUGACAGGCCUUGCGCUUUCGUCUGUUAACUCCGGAGGCCGUUGUGCUUGGAGCAGGGAGGCCAAGGCCAGGGCACCUGACGCCGGCCUCUCGUCUGCACUGAGCCUCCUGCCUGUGCUCACAGGUGGAGAAGCGGCGGGUCAAUCUGCCCAGGGUCCUUUCCACACCCCCCGUGGCUGGCACUGCGUGCCACGCAUAUGACCGGGAGGUCCACCUGCGUUGCGAGCUCUCACCGGGCUACUACCUGGCUGUCCCCAGCACCUUCCUGAAGGACGCGCCAGGGGAGUUCCUGCUCCGAGUCUUCUCUACCGGGCGAGUCUCCCUUAGCGCCAUCAGGGCAGUGGCCAAGAACGCCAGCCCCGGAGCAGCCCUGCCUGCGGGGGAGUGGGGGACCGUGCAGCUGCGGGGCUCCUGGAGAGCCGGCCAGACGGCGGGGGGCAGCAGGAACUUUGCCUCGUACCCCACCAACCCCUGCUUCCCCUUCUCGGUCCCCGAGGGCCCUGGCCCCCGCUGCGUCCGCAUCACUCUGCAUCAGCACUGCCGGCCCAGUGACACCGAGUUCCACCCCAUCGGCUUCCAUAUCUUCCAGGUUCCAGAGGGUGGCAGGAGCCAGGACGCGCCCCCACUGCUGCUGCAGGAGCCGCUGCUGAGCUGCGUGCCGCAUCGCUAUGCCCAGGAGGUGAGCCGGCUCUGCCUCCUGCCUCCAGGCACCUACAGGGUCGUGCCCUCCACCUACCUGCCAGACACAGAGGGGGCCUUCACUGUGACCAUCGCAACCAGGAUUGACAGGCCAUCCAUUCACAGCCAGGAGAUGCUGGGCCAGUUCCUUCAGGAGGUCUCCGUCAUGGCAGUGAUGAAAACCUAACAGGGUGGCUCCCUGUGCCAGCUCAGGUGACUGGAACUCAAGGGCCUGACAGGUUCCCAGCAACUGGGCCGGCCAGCCUUGCACUGUGAGGGCUGGUCCUGAGUCUUGGCCCGCCUCGCAGCCCUGCCAGGGGGCUGCUGCCUAAGGGUCCACGGGAAGCCUCCAUCAUGAGAGACUCAGCCCUGGGGGCAAGCAGGUGCUGCAGAGGAAGGGAGGGAAGCUUGGCGGCUUCUGUCGCGCCUCUGAGACGGCAGAGACCCCAGGAUCCCAGAGCUUCCCAGGAUCCCUCCCAGAUCCUCCUCUGCUGACUCCACACGGAAGCCUCACACCCACAGGGUAGGGCAGCAGAUCUUCUUUAUACCUAUUUAUUGUUUGCAUCACUUUUAGGAUGUAACUUUAUAAAUAAACAUGAACGCUGAGGAUUUGCAGAUC